GAUGAACGCUAGCUACAGGCUUAACACAUGCAAGUCGCGGGGCAGCAUGGGGGUUGCUUGCAAUCCCCGAUGGCGACCGGCGCACGGGUGAGUAACGCGUAUCCAACCUGCCCUUCACCACGGGAUAACCCGGCGAAAGUCGGACUAAUACCGUAUGUUGUCCAUUGACGGCAUCCGAUUUGGACGAAGGGGUUGGCGGUGAAGGCUGGGGAUGCGUCCGAUUAGCUGGACGGCGGGGUGACGGCCCACCGGGGCGACGAUCGGUAGGGGUUCUGAGAGGAAGGUCCCCGACACGGGAACUGAGACACGGUCCAGACGCCUACGGGAGGCAGCAGUGAGGAAUAUUGGUCAAUGGGCGUAAGCCUGAACCAGCCAAGUAGCGUGCAGGAUGACGGCCCUAUGGGUUGUAAACUGCUUUUAUGCGGGGAUAAAGUGGCCCACGUGUGGGUUUUUGCAGGUACCGCAUGAAUAAGGACCGGCUAAUUCCGUG
rnacentral:rRNA from 1 species